UUGUCAUGAAAUUUUGACCUCAGGAAUGUCAAAUUACAAAAUAUUCUUAAAAGAUAUUUUAGUAAUUUUACAUCUCCUAAAGUACAAUUUGGAUCUUUAGUGCAUAAAAAAUAAUAAAAAAUUAUUAAUUUAUAAUUUGAAAGAUUUUAUGAAAUUUGAGUUUGAAAAAGCUAACCCCAUCUAUAAAUAGGGAAACUAGUUUACAUCUCAAGCAUCCCAUCUCAUUCCAGACGCUCUUCUUUUCUUUUUUCUUUAGUUCUCUUUUAGUUUUUAGUUAUUUAGCUUUCUUUGUAAUUGGUUUAGGUAACAAAUUUGCCAAUAAAACUUUUUUCUAAAUUCUUUUCUUUAAUGAAUGUAUUCUUUCAUGCAAAUUCUAGUUUUCUUUAAAGCUUUCUUACACUUUUUUCGGUUUUGUAAUAUUGUUUACAAGUUCUUAUAGUUUCAACAAUCUUUCCCAUCCUAUUCUUUUUAGUUUUUAAUCAAGCAAUCCUACUUCCUUCAUUUAAGUUUUGGUUCAUGCAAUCUUGUUUUAUGUUCUAUAAUUUUCAACCUUUCUUAAUCUUAUUAUUUCCAAAUUUCAAUUCUUAUUUUCCGUAGAUCGUGUUCAUUUAGACACGAUCCUAUUACUUACCAAGUAAUAAUUGGUACAGUUGGUUAAGUAAGAUAUAGGCCUUUCUUAGUUUAUAUAUAAAGUUUAAUCUAAGUUUAUAUAUAAAGUUUAAUCUAUCACUUUUGGUACUUGAAUCCACCCAACAAUCAAUUUUAUAAUCCUUCUAGAAUGAUAUCUGAUACUUAUCACUUUAUUAAUUGUUGCGAAAAUAGGUAAAUAGUACUCUAUUGCCAAAUUUUGGGUUUGUGAGGUGCUAUUGGUUUGGGCUAAAUAGGAGGAAGAAAGUUUGUAUACAAUGAGAAACAAUGAAAGAUGAAUAAUGAAAGAUUUGAGCAAAUUUUUAACUUUAUAAUAUGAAUUUAAAUUAAUAAAAAACAAAAGAAAAAGAAAAGAAUGAAAUUAGACAUGACAAUCUACGAUUCCAAUCCAUUGAUCCUAAUAGGAAUCUAAAGCAUUUUUUACUAAUAAAAUAUUUUAUGGUAAAACAAAUUUAACAACAGAGUGCAAUUUAUUAUCGUUAAGUAAUUUUCUUUUGAACACAUAAAUUAGACUUAAUUAAAAGAGAUAUUUUUUAUUAAAAAGGUUACCAACCGUUAAAUUCUUUAUUAAACAUUUAACUUCUUUUAAACUCUUCAAAAAUGUAUUUGAUAAUUUUUCAAAAAAAUUAUCUAUUUCAUUAUUAUAAAAUUUAUUACUUUCACAAUUGCUAUUGAAAUAUUAUUUGAUUCUUUUAUUUUUUAUGAGUUUGAUUUUUUAUUUAUUUAUUAUAAGAUUAAUGUCAAAAUAUACUCCACUUAUUUAUAAGAAAUUUUAAUAUAAUAUUUAAAUCUAAAAAAUUUAUAAUAUUAUACUUAAAUUAUUAAUUAAUAAUCAUUAAUUAAUGUGAUAUUUAAAUAAUUAUUAUUUAUCCGUCAAACCAGAUUACAAGCAAAGGGUACGAAUAAAACAUUAAAGAUUUUAAUGUACAGAUAACAUUAACGCUCCAUUUGUUUCGUAAUAAGUAAUUUUUUAAAAAUGAUUUUCACAUUUUCAUGUACUCAUUUGGUAAAAAUUUCACUAAUCAACAAAAAAUAAAUUAUCGAUCAACUCAAAAUCAUUUUUUUGAAAAUUAUAUUACGAAUUUGAGAAUGAGAGACAUUUUGUAAAAAAAAAACUAAUUAUGAGUAAAACUAUUCAUCAAUACUUUUAAAUAUAAUUUUACUUUUAAAUAAUAUUAUAUUAAUAAAUAAUAUUAUAUUAAUAGAUAAUAUACUAUUAAUAUAAUAUAUUAAUAAAUAAUAUUAUAUUAAUAAAUAAUAUUUAAUAUAUUAAUAAAAUAAUAUAAAAAUAAUAAAUAAUUUUAUUUUAAUUAUAUUUAUAUUAACAUAAUAUUUUAAUAUUAAAUAUUAUUAAAAUAUAAUUAUUUGUAAAUAUUAAUAAUUUUAAUAAUAAAUAAUUUUAACAUGCUUUAAGAAUAAAUAAUUUUUAAUAUUUAAAUAAUUAACUAAUAUUAUUUUUUAAAAAAUAAUCAAAUAAAAAUAUUUUUUAUUAAUUAAUUUAAAUAUUAAAAAAUUACUUUCAAUUCAAAAAAUGUAAAUAUCUUUAAAAAUUAUAUUUCAAAAACCAUUUUUCGCCCGAAACAAUCGAAACUUAGAUAUUAAUGUAUUGUAGAGGUUAUUAUGGCAUUGACGCACAAAUUCCAGUCACCGUUUUGAAUUUAAGCCCAUAUUGCUCUGUUUCUGUCCAGACGUACUACAUCUAUCAACAAAAUAUAUGAUCUAUUACAAGCUUCCACAGAUCUUGAAAUCUCGAGCAGUUGUUGCUAUUCUCUGAAAAUCACAACGUUAUCAAAUACCUAUUAUUUAUCUUGCAAUUGAGACAUUUCCGUGCAUGAAUUCCAAGUCCUCGAAUAAAUCAAUCAUUUAGCAAAAUACUGGUAAAUUAUAAAAAGUUUAAGCAAGAAGAAGAAGAAAAAUUAAAACCAAACCUGAAGGAAGCUACCCAAGACAGGACAAGGUAGGGAAGGUGAGCAACGGUUGGAAAUCAAGGGUAUGGGAGGUGUGGGGAAGAAUUGCACCUCUUUGAUUAAAAAAAGGUCAUAAUUCUGCCCAAAUCCCCCAUACCUAUAACUCACAACACCACUCCCUUUCCCUCCAACUCCUUUCACUUUCGGAAGUUUCAUAUAUGAAAGAAACAAGGGAUAGAGAGAGAUAGAGGAAAUGUUUGGAAUGGGCGGAGUCGGUAGAAGAGAAGAAUUGGUGUAUUAAAAAAAAAAAUGUUUUGCCAAUCCACCCAUCUCCAAAAACUUCCGAUAUCAAUCUCUACCCCUCUCUCUCACGUAUCAGAUGAUUGACUGUUGAAGGAUGAGUGAGCAUUGAGCAUGGCAGUAAAUAUAAAGGGAGAAAACGAGUGAGGUAGUAGGCUUCUUUUUUUCUUUUUCUUCUUUACGAAAGGAAACCGCGUUGUGUUGAAGUCACAUGGAAAAGCAAAGGAAAGUGAGAGGAAGGUGCAGGCAAGGCUGCAGAUGUGGAAAUGGGAUGACAACUUUGGAGAUAAGGACAAUUUACCCACCCAUACGACAACUGCCGUCAUUAGUUUUUUUUUUUUUUUUCGUUUUUUACAAACGUCUAUAACAAGUUUAAAUUUUUUAAUUCUUUAUUUAUAAUAAAAUCAGUAAAUACUAAUUAUUAGUUUUAUAGAAUUAAAUAUUAAUUAUUGAUUAAAUCUAGAAUAAAAUAAGAGAAAAUUUGUUUAUCAAAUAAUAAGAUUUUAAAAUAAAAUUUAUAAAAUUUUAUACAAAAUUUAAAUAAUUUUCACUUUGUAUAAUAGUUUUUAUUUUCCACUUUAUUACAUGCUUAUAAAAUUACUUAAAAAUAAAAAUAAAAUAUUGUUUUUAAAAAACAUUUAAUAUAAUUGAUAUCUUUUAAAUACCUAAAAAUAUUAUAAAUAAAAAUAAUUCUAAAGAAUUUUUAAAAUAUUAAAAUAAAAAUUCUUUCAAAGAAAAAUUAAAUUAAAAAUUUUAUAUUUUAAAAUAAAAAUAUAAAAAUUGUUAACUAAUCAAAUGAGAGAAAUAAUCAAAUUAUAUCAAUUUAUAUAAAAAUAUGAUGAAGUGUUGUACCACGGUGAAAAAAGAAUUAUAAAACUUUUAAAUAUAGUUGAAUGUAAGAAAAAGUAUUAGAAGAAGUAUUUUAAGGUAAAUAAUUAAAUUACCAAUAUAAAUUUUAAAUUAAUUGUUUUUGUUAUAAAUAUAUAAGAAAAAUAGUUAAAAAAUACUUUUAAGGAUAAAACAAAUGUAAGGUAAUGUUUAGUAUGAGAUAAUCACUUUAAAAAUCAUAGUGAUUUGCACGUAGUGAUGUAAAUAUUGUGUUUGGUAAGCAUUUGAUGAUUUUACGUGGUGGUGAUCUUAGAUAACUGAGAGUGAUAAAAUUAUUAUCUUGGAAGGUAAUUUAAUUCAUAUACAAAAAGAUUAGAAAUUUUUAUCAACGAAGUGAAGUAAUGUAUAAAAUUAAUAAUAGUCAAUAUUAUCUAUUUAAUAUGUGAAUUAAAAACUUACUUCUUCUUAAAAUUAUAAUUUUUUUAUAUUUCAAAUUAAUAUUUAUUGUAACAAAUUAAAAAAAAUAUGUUUUCUCUUUCAUUUUUUAAUACUUUAUACAUAAUUUAAUUUUUUUUGUUUUUCUUUUAUUAUGAAUUUAAUAUUAUAUUUUUUAUUUUCUAAUUCAAAUAUUCUUUACAUAAUUUAUAUUAUAAAAAUUAAUUUAUUUAUCAAUAAAUAUAUUUAAUAAUUUAAUAAUAUUUUAUUAUAGAAUAAAUAGAAUAUUACUAAUUUUGACAAAUUAUUAUCUUUAAACAAUAUUAAAAUUAUUAAUUUGUAUAACUAUUAUAAAAUACAUGAUUUUUUGCACUUUUAAAUAAAAUAAUAUUUGAUUUUUAGUAAUACCAAACAUAUUAAUAUUUAAUUCCUAAGAAUUAGUUAUUGUUAACCCAAAAAAGUGAUAUCAAGUCAUGAGUGAUAAUAAAAUUAUCUCGAUAAUUACAUUAUCAUGAUGAUCUUACAAAAGAUACCAAAAGCUACUAAAAAGAAAUGAUAUUUUGGAAUAAAAAUAUUAAUAAAAAAUUUAUUAACUUAAGCAAGUGAAAGAAACCAUAAAAUUCAUAUCAUAUAGCAAAAAAUAUGUUAGAAGUGUUAUCACACCUAAGAAAGAGUUAUAAUAAUUUUAAAAGUAAUAAAAUGUAAGAACAAUAGUAAAAAAAAAAAAAUACUAUUGAAAUGUAAAUGAUUAAGUGAGUAAUGUAAAAUUUUAAUUAAUUAUUAUUUUUAUAAAUAUAUAAGGAAGAUACCUAAUAAAUAAAAAAAAUACAGGCAAUGCAAAUAGGUGUGAGGAUGUGUACCAUUUUAAGAAAAAUAGGUAAGAAAUGUCAUAAUACACUAAGAAAGAUCUAUGACAAUUCUAAAUGUAUUGGAAAAUAAACAAGUGUGAACAAACAAAAAAUUAGAAUAAUUUGGUGUAAAAUGGGUAAAAGGUGUCAUGAGACACUAAGAAAUGUUAUAACAAUUUUAAACAUAAUAGAAUGUAGGAAUAGCUAUAAGCCGAUAGUAUUGUAACAUAAAUAAUUAUGUUGGUAAUGUAAAAUUUUAACUAAUUAUUAUCUUUUAAAUAUAUAAGAAAAAUAGCUAAAAUUGAAAAAAAAAAAGUAACGUAAAGAGUGAGAAAAAAUGUAAAAUAAGUAUGAUUAGGUCUAAAAAUGGAUAACAAGUGUCCUAACACACUACGAAAAAAUUGUUAUAAUUCUAAAGGAAAAUAGAUAAAAUUGAAAAACAAAUAAGUAAUGUAAAAAGCGAGAAAAAACAUAAAAUAAAUAUCAUUAGGUCUAAAAAUGGAUAAAAAGUAUCCUAACACACUAAGAAAAAGCUAUUAUAAUUCUAAAUGUAAUUAAAGGUAAUAACAAUCAUUAAAUAAAUUAUUGUAAUGUAAAUAAUUAAGUUACCAAUAUAAAAUUUUAAUUAAUUAUAUUUAAACAUAUAUGAAAAUAGCUAAAAUUUACAAAAUAAGUUGGUAACAUAAACAAGUAAAAAGAAAUGUAAAAUUAGUAACAUUUAGCGUAAAAUGAGUAUAAAUUGUUGUAAUACACUAAAAAGAAUUAUGACAAUUUUAAAUGUAAUGGAAAGUAAGAACAAUCAUAAUAAUAUAUUAUUGUAACAUAAAUAAUUAUUUUGGCAAUGAAAAAUUUUAAUUAAUUAUUAUUAUGUAAAUAUCUAAGAAAAUAGUUAGAAAUUAAAAAGUAAAUUGGUAGCAUAAACAAAUGAGAACAAAUAUAACAUUAGUAUCAUUUGACAUAAAAUGGGUAAAAAGUGUUAUCACACAUUAAGAAAAUAUUAUGAUAAUUCUAAACAGAAUGAAAAGUAAAAACAACCUUAAGAAGAUAUUAUUGUAAAAUAAAUAAUUAUGUUGACAAGAUAAAAUUUAAUUAAUUAUUGUUCUACUACAACAAAAUUACGAUAUAUUAAUGCUAAAAAAAGUCGGUAUAGCUCAAUAAACCUUUUACCGAUGAUUAAAAUGCCUGUUCCAAUGACAUUUUAGUCAUCAAUAUGUCUCUUGUCGAUAUGGGUUUAUACCAAUAGAUUUUUAACUGUCAAAAUAGAGAUAUAUUGAUGGCUUGAGUCCAUUAAUAAUUGUAUAGCUAUUUAUAUAACAUCUACAGUGUGUUUCUGACAUUAUACUUUUUGUUGGCCUUGAAUUGAUUAAGAGUUUUGAUUUGACAAAAUAAAAAUUUGCCAAACUUGUUUCAAUCUUAAUCUUGUUUAAGCUUAAAUUGAACAUUUUUCCACCCUUCUAUCUUACCAAAAUUCAUUUGAGAACCAAAACAACUCAAAUUCUCGGAACAAAACAUGAUUUAUACAAGUUUUGAUAGAAGGGAUCGAUCCCCUCAAGGAAGGGAUCAAUCCCUUCCAUUACUAGAUCGAUGCCCUAGUAAAAGGGAUCGAUCCUAUUUUCAACCAGAACCGAAAGUUCUCAAGAUUUGGUAAAAAUUGAUCGAUCCCCUUCCUGUAAGGGAUCGAUCCCCUCAUUUAAGGGAUCAAUCACUUUUUCAUAUAGAAUGCUUUCUUCACGUAAUUUUCUAGAAAAGGGAUCGAUCCUCUUACAUAGAGGAUCGAUUACCUAAGGUAAGGGAUCGAUCUCCUCUUAAAGGGCUUGAUCGGUUGUUCAAACAGAAUGUCCCCAAGUGUGAAAACCCAGAAAAGGGAUCGAUCCCCUCACAUAGGGGAUCGAUCACCUAAAAGAACAGAUCGAUCCCUUUAAACAAGGGAUCGAUCGGGUAAGGCAAAAUAGGCAUAAAAUCAAGCUUUCUCAAACAUGAACCAAUCGAUCACUUAAGGGAGGGGAUCGAUCCCCUGAAGGCCUGAAACUUUUAACGACUAUUUUCUGUCCAAAAUUUAUGCAGGUUUAAAGCAUUAAAUGCAAUCCAACGGCUCUUAACUUUUUUCUAAGUAUAAAUCAAGUAUUCUACUAUAGAUCAAGAGUAACAAGAGCUAAAGAAACUUAUUGCUAUUCACCUACCAAUCUACUCAAGUAUUCAAAGCUAUAAAAAAAGAAAAAGUACAAAAUUUAUAUAAGUUUUUCUCUACUUUCUUAUCUAUAUAUUUGUGUACUUCAACUUAGCAAACACCUAGCCCUUGUGAGGUUCUUAGAGUUUGCCAAACACUUUUGAAUUUUAUGUAUUGUGAGUGUGUAAUCUUAAGGUGGAAGAUAACCAUUAAGAGUGUAUGUUGUUGAGUUUGUAAAUCUUUGUGAAAGCUUAGUUCUAAUCUUCAUCAAAUAGUGGAUUGAACUCCUUAGCAAGAGAGGUUAAAGGAGAGGACGUAGGUGCCUAAGAAAGGACCGAACCUUUAUAAAUCUUGAUGUUAAAUUCUCUAACCCUAUCUUUUGUUUAUAUUCAUCUAUUGUGCUUAUCUAUUUUGAUAAUUUGUGAUUAUUGAAUGUUAUCUUUGAAAAUUUUAUUAAAACCAAUUCACCCCAUCUUGGUUUUUCAAGUCUUUGAGCUAACAAUUGGUAUCAGAGCUAGUACUCUUUCUAUAGGUUUAAUAGCCCAAAAGUGAUCUUGAAAAUAGGUUAAAGAAAUAUGGCAAUCAAUGUGGAAAAAUCAUCCUUAAGCUAUAACAACUAUACCUACCAAUAAGCGAUGUGCCUCAUGACAAAUGAAACAGUUGUAACAUCUCUUGGAAGUUGAAGGCAUUCAAUUGUUAGACCUCCUCUCUUUGCUGGUGACAACUACUCCUAUUGGAAGACUAGGAUGAGGCUGUUUAUUCAAGCAAAUGAUUAUGAAGUCUAAAGGGUCAUUACAAAUGGUCCUAAAAUUCCAAUGAAUAUGGUGGAUGGUAAGGAGGUGAUAAAGCUAGAGAGUGAAUGGGAUGUCAAUGACAUGAAGAUGGCUCAACUCAAUGCCAAAGAAAUGCACACAUUCUUUUGUGCAUUGAGACCAUGUGAGUAUAAUAGAGUCUCCUUAUGUGAGAAUGUAAAGGAAAUUUGGGAUAAGUUAGCUGUCACCUAUAAGGGUACAAACCAAGUGAAAGAGACAAAAAUAAGCAUACUUACUCAUGAUUAUGAGUUGAUCAAGAUGAAAUCUGAUGAAACCAUCAGUGAGAUGUCAAAUUGCUUCACCGACAUCAUUAAUGGUUUAAAGGCUCUUAGGAAGACAUUCAAAUGUGGAUAUGGUAAAGAAAAUUCUCAAUAGUCUACCAAAGAAUUAGAAAGCUAAAGUGACAUCCAUUGAAGAGUCCAACGAUCCUCAUACAUUUUUUUUGGAUGACCUAAUGGGCUCUCUCCUCACUUAUGAAAUGAAGAUAAAAAAGAGACAAAAACCAGUCAAAAAAGGUGACAUUGCUCUCAAAUCUACCUUUCAAAAGGAUAAAGAAAAUUUUGCUCAAGAGGAGGAUGAUGAAGAUGAAGAGAUGGCCAUGUUUGCAAAGCGAUUCAAGAAGUUCAUGAGAAUGAACAAGUUUUCAAUUAGGAGAAGACCAUAAAGGAAGAUGACUAAAGGAAAAUCAAGUAGAAGAGAAAAGGAUCAAAUUAUUUGCUAUGAAUGCAACAAAUUAGGUCACAUUAAACUUGAUUGUACUUUAUGAAAAAAGCAGAACAUGACCAAGCCAAAGAAGAAAGCUAUGGUAGCAACAUGGAGUGAUAGCGACUUUUUCGAUGAUGAAUCAAAAAGAAGAAAGUAGCCAACCUAUGUCUCAUGACUCUUGAUGAGCUCAAGGUAACCUCUAAUCCAUGUGAUUCAAAUUCAUACUCAUUUGAUGAACUACAAGAUGCCUAUGAUGAAUUAGCUAUAGAAUUUGAGAACAUAAGCAUGAAAUAUAAGAAAAUGAUCAGUAAAUUGAAACUAGAAAAUGAGUCAUUGACUAAAGCAAAAGAAGACUUAGAAAAGGAAGUUGAGCUCUUGAAGGUAAAUGUCAAUGACUUGACUAAGAAAAAUGAAAAACUGCAUAAUUCAUUUUUUAGAUUUUAUAUGGGUCAUCAAAAACUCAACGACAUGAUAGAAACACAAAGAGCUUUCUUUGAUAAAGAUGGAUUAAGUUAUAAUGGUGACAACAAAGAGACUCACUUGAAGAAAGUCACUUAUAGAGGUAAGCUCAUUAGGAGAGUGUGGAUUCUAAAAGGAGUUAGCACAUCUCAAGAUGAGGCUACUAAAAUGAAGUGGAUUUCAAAAGGCACAAAAAUUAUUAGUACUAACUCUCAAGGACCCAAGAAAAUUUGGGUACCCAAAAUAAAAAUUUAAUUAUGUUUUUGUAAGUGGAUGAGCAUUGCUACAAAGCAAAUUCCAGCAAGAACAAUCAAUGGUACCUUGAUAGUGGAUGCUUAAAACACAUGAUCGGAGAUAAAACUCUCUUUAAGGACUUGAAAGCAAAAAGUGGAGGAAAUGUUACAUUUGAUGACAACUCAAAAGGCCAAAUUGAAGGGAUUGGCUCCAUUGGUAACAAUUCAUCUACUUUUAUUGAAAAUGUUUUACUUGUGAAAGGUCUCAAGCAUAAUUUACUUAGCAUUAGUCAAUUAUGUGAUAAAGGAUUUAGAGUUGUGUUUGAAUCCAUGUGCUGUCAAGUAAUUGAUAUCAAAACUAACAAGCUUGGUUUUGUUGGACACCGUCAAGGAAACAUUUAUGUAGCGCAUCUAGAUGACCUAUCCUCUAAAAAUGUUUGUUUUAUGGCUCAAAAAUAAAAUGAGAGUUGGAUUUGGCAUAAAAGGCUUGGACAUGCAAGUAUGCAUGUAAUUUUAAAACUUUCUCAAAAUAAUUUGGUUGUUAGUUUGCCAAAGUUGAAAUAUGAAAAUGACAAUGUUUGUGAUGCAUAUGCUUAAGAAAAACAUAGAAUAAUUUUUUUCAAACCUAAGAAUUGCAUUUCAACUAUUAGACUUCUUCAACUAUUGCAUAUUGAUAUUUUUGGCCCUACUAGAACAAUGAGUCUUAGUGGAAACCAAUAUGGGUUUGUUAUUGUUAAUGAUUUCACUAGAUUCACAUGGGUUCUCUUUUUGCAUUCAAAGAAUGAGGCUUUGGAAAAAUUCAUCACUUUUAGCAAACAAAUACAAAAUGAAAAAAGUUAUUCAAUUACUAGUAUUAGAAGUGAUCAUGAAAAGAAAUUUGAAAAUCUAGGCUUUAAUAUACUUUGUAGUGAAAAUGGUAUUAGCCACAAUUUUUCUUCUCUUAGAACUCCUCAACAAAAUGGGGUAGUAGAAUGAAGAAAUAGAACUUUAGAAGAAAUGGCUAGAACCAUGCUUUGUGAAAACAAUCUACCUAGAUAUUUUUGGGCGAAAGCCAUAAAUACUUCUUGUUAUAUUAUAAAUAGAGCUAUGAUUAGGCCAAUUUUGAAAAAAACCCCUUAUGAACUUUUUAAAGGAAAAAGGCCUAACAUAAGUUAUUUUCAUCCUUUUGGUUGCAAAUGUUUUAUUUUGAUAAAUGAAAAAGAUGAUCUUGGAAAAUUUGAUGCAAAAAGUGAUGAAGGAAUUUUCGUAGGAUAUUUUUUGAAUUCAAAAGCUUAUAGAGUUUUCAAUAAAAGAACAUUAGUGGUGGAAAAGUCUAUGCAUGUUAUUUUUGAUGAAUCUAACCCACUUCUAAGAAAGGUGUUUCUUGAUGAUGAUGAUGUAAGUAUACUUCAAGAAUGGAUCAAUGAUGAACCUUAUGACAUUGAGAAAAAAAAUCAAAAGAAAAAAGAUGAGUUUUUAGAAGAGCCACAACACAUAAAGAGAGAGCCAAAUCAUCUUAGAGAAAAGAGGUAUGUCAAAGAUAGUGAAAUCAUUGGUAAUCCAACUUAAGGGGUAAGAACUAGAUCUUCUUUUAAUGUGUGUAAUUAUGUUACUUUCCUAUCUGAUAUUGAACCUAAAAAUAUAGAUGAAGCAUUAGGAGAUGAUCAUUGAAUUUUGGCCAUGCAGGAAGAAUUAAACCAAUUUGAAAGAAACCAUGUAUGAAAUCUUGUACCUAGGCCUAGUGACCAUCCCACCAUAGGCACCAAAUGGGUCUUUAAGAAUAAAAUGGAUGAGAAUGCGAAUAUCAUUAGAAAUAAAGCUAGAUUGGUAGCUCAAGGGUAUAGGUAAGAAGAAGGAAUAGAUUAUGAUGAAACCUAUGUUCCGAUAGCAAGGUUAAAAGCCAUAAAGAUGUUACUUGCAUUUACAUGUUUUAAAAAUUUUAAGCUUUUUCAAAUGGAUGUUAAGAGUGGAUUUCUUAAUGGUUUUAUAAAUGAAGAAGUGUAUGUAAAGCAACCUCUCGGUUUUGAAAAUCCAAAAUUUCCAAAUCAUGUUUAUAAAUUGACAAAAGCAUUAUAUGAUUUAAAACAAGCUCCUAGAGCUUGGUAUGAAAGAUUGUCAAUUUUUUUGAUUGAAAAUGGUUUUAAUAGAGGAAAGGUUAACACUACACCUUUUAUUAAAACAAAAGGUAAGGACAUUCUCAUAGUGCAAAUUUAUGUUGAUGAUAUUAUAUUUGGUGCUACUAAUGAAAUUCUUUGUCAAGAAUUUGCUAAGAUUAUGUAAGGUGAAUUUAAAAUGAGCAUGAUGGGAGAACUCACAUUCUUCUUGGGACUACAAGUAAAGUAAACAAAAAAUGGCACCUUCAUUAAUCAAGCCAAAUACAUCAAGGAUUUGCUUAUAAGGUUUGAAUUGAGAGAAUCAAAGCCUUGUUUAACACCAAUGAGCACCUUAACAAAGCUUGACAAGGAUGAAUGAGGUAAAUGUGUUGACUCUAAACUAUAUAGGUCUAUGAUUGGUUCAUUGCUAUAUCUUAUUGCUAGUAGACUUGAUAUUAUGUUUAGUGUAUGUUUAUGUGCUAGAUUUCAAUCAUCUCAUAGAGAAACACAUUUGUCUACUAUUAAAAGGAUUUUUAGAUACCUUAAGGACAUCCUAAAUUUAAGAUUAUGGUAUCCAAAAGGCUCUUCCUUUGCUUUACAUGCCUAUUCGAAUGUGGAUUUUGGUGGGUGCAAAAUUGAUAGAAAAAGAACUUCUGAUAUUUGUCAAUUGUUUGGAAAUAUGCUCAUAUCAUGGUUUUUCAAUAAACAAAAUAGUGUUGCUCAAUCUACAACUGAAGCUGAAUAUGUAACGACUGGAAGUUGUUGUACCUAGGUUUUGUGAAUUAAGCAACAAUUAGAGGAUUUUGGAAUAAUCAUGGAUCAUAUUCCCAUUAAAUGUGACAAUACUAGUGUCAUCAACCUCACUUAAAAUCCAAUUCAACACUCUAAAACCAAACAUAUUGAAAUUAAACAUCAUUUUAUUAGAGAUCAUGUUCAAAAGGGUGACAUUGUACUUGAAUAUGUUGACACCUUGCAUCAACUAGCUGAUAUCUUCACAAAACCUCUUGAUAAGGAUAGAUUUUAUGCAAUGAGAGGUGAACUUGGCAUGAUGAAUGCUCCUUGAAAUGAAAUUCUUGAUGUUAUCAUGUAUGGUGCACUUUUGAUUGAUUAAAUGUAUGUUUUUCUGAAUUUUUCUUUGGUUUGUGCAUGAUUGUAAAAUGCUUGUUUGAAUGAUCAUAUUGCAUGGUUUUCAACAUGCUACAGCAAAAACCAAUCGAUCCAUUUUGGAAUGGAUCGAUUGGUUCUUCACCCCGUAACCAAAGUAAAAAGAAAACAUAGGGAACCAAUCGAUCCCCUUUGGAUAGGAUUGAUCGAGUGUAAAGGCAGUAGCCAAUUUCGUUGAACCCAGGCAAAAUCGAUCGAUCCCUCUUGGGACAAGAUCGAUUAGGUGUGAAGGCAGUAGCCAAUUUCACUAAACCCAAGAAGAAUCGAUUGAUCCCCUCUUUGACAGGAUUGAUCGGGUAUUCAACCAGUAGCUAAAAUGACUUGGAAAGGUGCAAAACUGAUCUAUCCCCUUCAAACCCAAUCGAUCGAUUUCAUGCAAAGGUAAAAAAUUGAUCGAUCCCCCACUUCACCUGAUCGAUUGAUUCAUGAAUUUUGGGCAUGAUAAAUUCAGGUUCUCACCUGUUUAGCCGAUCCUUUCAUCUUUCCUUUCCUAUUCAUCUUCUUUCCCAACUUUUUCUCUCUACACUAUACAUAUUCCCAUUAAAAAUUGACUCAUUCUCUUACAAAUUUCUCUUGUAAACUCACUACCCACUAUUUCUUACUUAUCAAACUCAUUUCCCAUGGCACCCAAAAUGAAAGUCAUGGCUGGACGACAAAACCCUCCAAGAAAGGCUUCAAGCUCCACCAUGAAGCCUUUUUUCAACCAAAAUUUCAACAAUCCCGAUGCCAAGGAGUGGUAUGAGACACACUUUGCUCAUCGGGAAGUAAAGCCUGAAAGGGUAAUCUCGUUAGACUUCCUUCAAUCAAUAGAGUUUUCCUAUUUGCAUACUUUUGAGUCUUUUGGAUGGAUGCCUUACUUGUGUAUAGAGAGUCACUUAUUUGAGAAUCUAGUAAGAGUGUUCUAUAGUAAUGCUAGCUGUGUUCAAAUUGAAGGAACAAAUAGGCAUUUCCUUGAUAGGUUCAAAACAAAUGUAAAGGGGAAGAAAAUCUUAGUUACAAAAUAAGUGCUAGCUGAGGCCUUUACAUUAGCUGAUAAAAGGGAAACAAAUCCUAGAUGUGAUAUGGUGCAACUAGCUCAAGAUAUCUUUAGGAAUCACAAUUUAUAGGUUGCUCUCACACAAGCCUCUAGGUUACCCAUGCAUGAUCGAUUGCUACACCUUAUUAUAACCCAUGUGUUAGCCCUUUUUGGGACCCAAUACUCUACCAUUAAGAAACAAGAUUAUUGGUGGAUGUACAAGACCAAGCAUGAACAGAAACCAAAUUUGAUACACUUCAUUUUUAGUGACAUGAUGAGUAUUGUCCGGAAUAAAGAUGUUACUCUGGUAUAUGGGUAUGCUAUAAGCAAUCUUUUAAGACAUUUGCAAGUAAACACUAGAGGUGACAGAGAGAUGCACAUCAAUGACCCAUUUAGUAUUCUUGGGCCUCUUACAUUGCAUAGUAUGGGGUAUGUUGAAACUCCAGCUGGCCAAUGGGUUAAAAAGAGGGAUAUUGGUGUUGCACAAGAGGAAGAGGAAGAGCAAGACCUUGUAGAUAUGCCUGCACCUCAAGGAGAACCCCCUAGCACACCUUUUGACACUCAAGGUGCCCUAGAAAUGCUCUUACUUCAUAUGAACAGCCUGCACUCGGUGGUUGGCACUAUGAGUACUAGAUUGGAGUCCAUGGAGGAAACUUAAAAUGAACUUGUGGCACAAGUCCAGCAUUUUUGAGCUGAUAUUGAGCAUAUGAGGUCUACUCCUCAGCACAUGGGACAAUCUUGCAUUACUCUCCUCUUCCACCUCCAUCUUUUCAUUCUCCACCUCCACCUCAAUGAAGCCUUUUUACUGCCAUCUUUUAUGUUUUCCCACAUUUUCUUUAUUUUUGUAAAUAUAACUUUGCAUUAUUGGUUUGUGACUUUGCUCUUAUAUUAAUGCAACUUAUCUUUUAUUCUCUUGUUGGCUUGUGACUUUUGUGGCUCUGUGGCAUUGUUGUUGUGUUUUCAUGUUUAAAGUGAAUCUUGGGUGGCUGAAUUGCUUAAAUCCCUCAUUCUUGAAUUUACUUCAUUUACAUAUUUUUGCUUUAUGACAAAAAAAGAGAAAUAUUGUAAUGAAAAUUGUUGAUGUAUGAAAAUCUGAUAUGUUUCUGAUCAUUGAUAAUGAAUAUUGGCAUUGAUAUAUUGAUGGUAUGGUGAUAUUACUCUUGUUUAGUUUGCCUUAAAUCUUAUGCCUAAAUUCAGGGGGAGCUUUUUUCAAAGGGGAAAAUGUUUUUCAUGCAAAUUUUCAGUUUGAUUUUGGUCAUAUCAAAAGGGGGAGAUUGUUGGCCUUGAAUUGAUUAAGAGUUUUUGAUUGACAAAUAAAAAUUUGCCAAACUUGUUUCAAUCUUAUCUAAGCUUAAAUUGAACAUUUUUCCACCCUUAUCUUGCCAAAAUUUAUUUGAGAACCAAAACAACUCAAAUUCUCGGAAUAAAACAUGAUUUAUGUAAGUUUUGAUAAAAGAGAUCGAUCUUCUCAAGGAAAGGAUCGAUCCCCUCCAUUACCAGAUCGAUCACCUAGCAAAAGGGAUCGAUCUUGUUUUCAACCGGAACUGAAAGUUCUCAAGAUUUGACAAAAAUCGAUCAAUUCUCUUCCUAUAGGGAUCAAUUGGUUAACAGAAUGGAUCGAUCCCCUCAUUUAAGGGAGCAAUCACUUUUUCAUACAAAAUACUUUCCUCGCGUAAUUUUUUAGAAAAGGGAUCGAUCCCCUCACAUAGAGGAUCGAUCACCUAAGGUAAGGGAUCGAUCCCCUCUUAAAAGGAUCGAUCGGUUGUUCAAACAGAAUGUCCCCUAAGUGUGGAAACCCAAAAAAGGGAUCGAUCCCCCCACAUAAGGGAUCGAUCACCUAAAAAAACCAAUCGAUCCCCUUAAGUAAGGGAUCGAUCGGGUAAGGCAAAAUAGGCAUAAAAUCGGGCUUUCUCAAACAUGAACCAAUCGAUCCCCUAAGUGAAGGGAUCGAUCCCCUGAAGGCCUGAAACUUCCAACGGUUAUUUUUUGUCCAAAAUUUAUGCAGGUUUGAAGCAUUAAAUGCAAUCCAAUGGCUCUUAACUUCUUCCUAACUAUAAAUCAAGCAUUUCACUGCAGACCAAGAGUAACAAGAGCUAAAGAAACUUAUUGCUAUUCACCUACCAAUCUGCUUAAGCAUUCAAAGCUGUAAAAAGAGAAAAAGUGUAAAAUUCAUAUAAGUUUUUCUCUACUUUCUUAUCUAUACAUUUGUGUACUUCAACUUAGCAAACACCAAGCCCUUGUGAGGUUCUUAAAGUUUGCCAAACACUUCUGAAUUUUCUAUAUUGUGAGUGUGUAAGCUUAAGGGGGAGGAUAACCUUUAAGAGUGUAUGUUGUUGAGUUUGUAAAGCUUUGUGAAAGCUUAGUUGUAAUCUUCAUCAAAUAGUGGAUUGAACUCUUCAGCAAGAGAGGCUAAGGGAGAGGACGUAGGUGCCUAAGAAAAGAUCGAACCUCUAUAAAUCUUGGUGUUAAAUUAUCUAACCUUAUCUCUUGUUUAUAUUCAUCUAUUGUGCUUAUCUAUUUUGAUAAUUUGUGAUUAUUGAAUAUUAUCUUUGAAAAUUUUAUUAAAACCAAUUCACCCCCCUCUUGUUUAUUCCAAGUCUUUGAGCUAACACUUUUUACUGAUAGUUAAUACCCAUUGAUAUAAACUUUUAUGUUUUGAAUUUUCCUAUCUAUACCAAUAGUUUGUCUAAUGUUAUAUCUUUUAUCAAUGGUCAAUGACUAUCGAUACAACCUUAUGCAUUUUUACCUAUACUGAUAGUUUGUCUAACAUUUUAUUUUUACCGACGUUAAGACUCGUUGAUAUAGCAUUAUUUGUUUUUACCUAUAUCGACGAUUAAUAAGGUGGUAGAGAUGUUAAAGCAUUGUUAAAAAAGAUUUCUUUUUUAAUUAUUAAUAUUAAUUUAUUAAUAAUCUUAUAAUACGAUAUGAUUUCAUAAAAGUAAAAAUACACAAUAAAGUACAAGAUAUUUGAUAACAUUUGAAAUUAAAUUACAAACAAAUUGUUUUAUAAUCAACAAAACUAAGAAUAGGCCAAUAACUAAAGUCAUUGUAAGAAGUCUAGGUUAAAACAAUCAUCAUUGAGUGUCUACAAACAUAAUGCUUGAAGUAAAUAAAUAAUUACCUGAAAUAACUAAUCCCAUCAUAGGUUUUUAUGGAGCAACAUCUGUAUAAAAUAAAAAACAUAAUUACUUACUUAAGUUAAGAACAAAAAAAUUAGAGUAAUUUUAAAAAUGAUUUAUAUGAAACACUAAAUACCAAAAUAUUAGUAUGUAAACAGUACUAAACAACAUUUAUGUUAUUUUAUUUAAAUUAAAUGUCCAGCAAAAAAUUAGAGUAAUUCUAGGUACAUAUAGUAUACAAAACUCAACCUAAUUGCUAUUAAUGAUAGAUUUUACACACAAAAGACAAAUUUUAAUAAAUAGAUAAAGGAACCAAAAUAACAAAGUAACUUAAAAUGGUAUUGCAUAAAUAACUCAAUUCCAAUUUCAAUGAGCAAAAGAACAUUAUAUACAUAUAUAAAGAUAGGCAUGAAAAAAAUUGUAAUAUUUACAAUUGAAUGUAUCAUCUCUUACCAACGUGAUUCAAAGAAAAAGCAAAAAAAAAUAAUUGUAUAACUCCAAAUAGUAUAUGAAGGUAGACUUAAAAAACCAAUUUCAUAUAUAAUAAUCAAUAAGAAAUUUUAAAACAAAUAGCAUUUUAAAUAAGAUUGUUGUCUAAUGCCAAAGUAGGUUCGCUAAUAUAACUUGUGCAAUGUUAAAUGCAUACCAUACAAAAGUGUGCACUACAUAAGUCAUAAGCCACUUAUUUAACAAGGAAAAGCAUAAGGUAAUGGUAAUCAGCCAUAGUAUAUUACAAGGAUACUAAAUAAUUAUGACAGCCAAGAGGCACUUCUCGACCUUUUGGUAAAAAUUGGAGCACAUGAUUAGGAGUAAAAAAUUCCAUGAUGCCAAAUGCAAAAAUUAUUCCAUAGGCCUAUACAGUUAUCAAUAAAUAUUUUUAAAUAUACGUUAUCAAUAGGAAAUAGCAUAUAUUAUAAGACAUUGCUUAAAUUAAAUGUUACUUCAUAUACCAUAAGAAAAUACCUAAUUAAUGAGCAGGGACAUUGUAUGAUUAUUGAAGUCCUAUCACUUCACAAACUUAAAUAUAAAAUGAUAGAUCAACAAUUAUUUUCUUAGAUAUAAUAGAUCCAGGUCACAAUUGGAGUAAUGUUUCUAUAAUCCAAGUGGAGCUCUACUUAGGACUUUUGCAAGAGCAUAUAAGAGCGAGCAUAUAGCAUUUUACAAUACAAAUUAGUGGGUUUUCAGUAAUUCUUGAAGCAUAGGCAUUUUACCCUUUUUCUCCUUAACCGUGAUCAUGGGGCAUGCCUAAGAAUUUUGGGUGAUCAUUGAUUAGUUCAUUUGUUCUAUUCAAGUAUUUUAGAAUUGUGGGAAGUUUAACCUCUCUUAGUUGACUAAAUAAAGUUAGCCAUAGUUCUGGUUGAUUUUUUACUAGUCAGAUAAUAUUAAAUCCACAAAUGAAAGGCAAUAUAAAAAGGCUUGCAUGAGUGAGUGAACAUAUAUAAUCAUCUAGUAACUUGCGUAUCCUACGUGGAUUAUUCAACUUAGUCAAUAAAAUAAUGUGAGAGCUUAAAAGCCAAGUUCCAAUUUGUUAACUUGCAUUUUCUCUUACUAUGGCUUGCGAGUUUACAAUUAUGGCUAUAUCAACGGUCAUCAAAGCUUUAUUUUUAUCUUUUUUUUUAACUCAAAAACAAAAAAUCUUAAUAGUUAGUGCUUAUUAAUCUAGUAUUAGUGACAAAUUAGUAUCCGUUAGUUCAAAAACUUUGAAAUUGAAACAAUAUCAAAACAUGAUGCUUAUGUACUAUUAAAAAAACCCCAGGAUGCAAGCAUUAAAUCAAUUUAUUGUCAAGAACUAGGCUAGGCUAAAAGAAGAAACCCAACUGUUAUGAACAAGGACUGGCAACUACAUAUAGCAUACGAUAUCAUUCCACACAUCAAAUAAAGGCUCUCUGACAAUUUUCAAUUUUUUUCAAGCUUAAGAAUUCUAAAUGGAGACCUAGGUUGUAAGCCAUUCUAAACUUUUUAAGUCUUGACAAUUUUAUUCCUAUGUUAUUCUUUUCAAUUGUUUCAAAAGCUCCUUAAGAAUCAUAAUAUAAAUUCUUUAGAUGGCAAUCAUAAUGGUUAAGAAACUUGCUUUUUUAAUAAAUUCUUUAUUCUGCCUAAUAGAUACUAAUUUAAAAAAAACUGCUAAUUUAAAAAAACCUGUAAGCUAUUCCCAAAAAAUUAAGAAAAUUGUAAAUGGUAAGGCAAAAAUCCCAACCUACCCAUUAUCUCUAAUCGGGGACUAUCAGUUAAGGGGACGUAGCAGCAAUAGAAUGGCUUUCACGAAUUGAUUCAUUUAACAGGACAUGGCAUCAACAGACUGGCUUUCAUGAUUUGAAUCGGUUAAAGGUACAUGACAGCAACAGAGUAGCUUUCAUGGUGGAAAAGCGUAAAAACUGAGAACAUGGCAGUCAGAGAACUCACCUCUGAGAAACAACCAAGACGAAUUGUCAGUUGAAGGGGACUACCGGUGCCAACUAUAGCAACGACCAUGACAGCAAUAGAGCUUAGGAAAAGGAUUGUGGUUUUAAUGGUGGCAGCGAAGAUAAGGGGUAAAGGGCUUGUUUAUUUAAGAGGAAAUACACAGCUUAUCUCAAAAUGAAAAGAAACAAUAC
rnacentral:lncRNA from 1 species